GGGGAUACAAUUCAGUUGGUAGAAUGUUUGACUCACAUGCACAAAGCCCUGGGUUCAAUCCCCAGCACCACCA
rnacentral:tRNA from 1 species